AUUGAACGCUGGCGGCAGGCCUAACACAUGCAAGUCGAGCGGAUGAAGGGAGCUUGCUCCUGGAUUCAGCGGCGGACGGGUGAGUAAUGCCUAGGAAUCUGCCUGGUCGUGGGGGAUAACGUCCGGAAACGGGCGCUAAUACAGCAUACGUCCUGAGGGAGAAAGUGGGGGAUCUUCGGACCUCACGCUAUCAGAUGAGCCUAGGUCGGAUUAGCUAGUUGGUGGGGUAAAGGCCUACCAAGGCGACGAUCCGUAACUGGUCUGAGAGGAUGAUCAGUCACACUGGAACUGAGACACGGUCCAGACUCCUACGGGAGGCGGCAGUAGGGAAUAUUGGACAAUGGGCGAAAGCCUGAUCCAGCCAUGCCGCGUGUGUGAAGAAGGUCUUCGGAUUGUAAAGCACUUUAAGUUGGGAGGAAGGGCAGUAAGUUAAUACCUUGCUGUUUUGACGUUACCAACAGAAUAAGCACCGGCUAACUUCGUG
rnacentral:rRNA from 1 species